AAGUAAGUAAAGUCCUUCUGGCAAUGGAACAAGGACGCCUAGGAGAUUACAAAGGAAAGAGCCUCGAUGAAAUACAAGUCGAUGUAAAUGAGACCAUUGACAUGGAGGGACCUUAGCAGAGGACAUUGAAGAUGUCAGUAUGCUAGGAGAAGAUGGGUCAGAUGAUGAGGUCAGCAUGUCAUCCACGCAAGAAUGUACCUCCACAUCACAAAGUCAAAACCAGGGAGUGUCUGCCACCGAUGUCAGUAUGCCAAGAGAAGAGGGGUCAGAAGAUGAGGUCAGCAUGUCAUCCCUGCAAGAAUGUUCCUCCACAUCACAAGUCCAAAACCGAAGUGUGUCUGCAAAAAAGAGAGGAAAACAAACGGCCGUCAAAAGAAGCUGGACCCCAGACGAGUGUGCUGCA